rnacentral:rRNA from 1 species
GCUAUGGCGAGACGCAGCGUACGGCUCAGUAACACGUGGCUAACCUACCCUUGGGACGGGGACAACCCCGGGAAACUGGGGCUAAUACCCGAUAGGUGAGGAGGCCUGGAAUGGUCCCUCGCCAAAAGGACUAAGGGCCAUGCUUCCUAUGUCGCCCAAGGAUGGGGCCGCGGCCCGAUCAGGUUGUUGGUGAGGUAACGGCUCACCAAGCCUAUAACCGGUACGGGCCAUGAGAGUGGUAGCCCGGAGAUGGGCACUGAGACAAGGGCCCAAGCCCUACGGGGUGCAGCAGUUGCGAAACCUCCGCAAUGCGCGAAAGCGUGACGGGGUUACCCCAAGUGCCGUCCGCUGAGGAUGGCUUUUCUCUGGUGUAAUGAGUCGGAGGAAUAAGGGGAGGGCAAGACUGGUGUCAGCCGCCGCGGUAAUACCAGCUCCCCGAGUGGUAGGGAUAAUUAUUGGGCUUAAAGCGUCCGUAGCCGGCCUGAAAAGUCUUCCGUUAAAUCCAGCGACCUAAUCGCUGGGUUGCGGGAAAUACUUCCAGGCUAGGGGACGUGAGAGGCCGACGGUAUUCUCGGGGUAGGGGUGAAAUCCUAUAAUCCCGGGAGGACCACCAGUGGCGAAGGCGGUCGGCUAGAACGCGCUCGACGGUGAGGGACGAAAGCUGGGGGAGCGAACCGGAUUAGAUACCCGGGUAGUCCCAGCUGUAAACGAUGCGGGCUAGGUGUUGGAGCGGAUACGAACCGCUUCGGUGCCGCAGGGAAACUGUUAAGCCCGCCGCCUGGGAAGUACGGUCGCAAGGCUGAAACUUAAAGGAAUUGGCGGGGGAGCACUACAAGGCGUGAAGCUUGCGGUUUAAUUGGAGUCAACGCCGGGAAUCACUAGU